CAUGAACGCUGGCGGCGUGCCUAACACAUGCAAGUCGAACGGAGUCCAGCCUUUAAGACCUUCGGGUCAAAGAGGGGAAGACUGAGUGGCGGACGGGUGAGUAACACGUGGGCAACCUGGCUCAUAGAGGGGGAUAACAGAGAGAAAUUUCUGCUAAUACCGCAUAAGCACACACUGCCGCAUGGCAGAGGGUGAAAAGAGAAUCGCUAUGAGAUGGACCCGCGUCUGAUUAGCCAGUUGGCAGGGUAAGAGCCUACCAAAGCGACGAUCAGUAGCCGAUCUGAGAGGAUGAACGGCCACAUUGGGACUGAGACACGGCCCAAACUCCUACGGGAGGCAGCAGUGGGGGAUAUUGCACAAUGGGGGGAACCCUGAUGCAGCGACGCCGCGUGAGUGAAGAAGUAUUUCGGUAUGUAAAGCUCUAUCAGCAGGGAAGAUAAUGACAGUACCUGAAUAAGAAGCCCCGGCUAACUACGUG
rnacentral:rRNA from 1 species